rnacentral:rRNA from 1 species
UACGUAGGGGGCAAGCGUUGUCCGGAAUUAUUGGGCGUAAAGCGCGCGCAGGCGGUCCUUUAAGUCUGAUGUGAAAGCCCACGGCUCAACCGUGGAGGGUCAUUGGAAACUGGGGGACUUGAGUGCAGAAGAGGAAAGCGGAAUUCCACGUGUAGCGGUGAAAUGCGUAGAGAUGUGGAGGAACACCAGUGGCGAAGGCGGCGUUCUGGUCUGUAACUGACGCUGAGGCGCGAAAGCGUGGGGAGCAAACAGG